CACCACUUAGAACACAGCUGUC
rnacentral:misc_RNA from 1 species